rnacentral:lncRNA from 1 species
AUGCCCCCUUCUUCUCAACCCAGCAAAUCGCUGACCUCCAAGGAUGUGGAGGGGGAUGUUUGGAAGUGUUCUUUGGGGAAUGAGAGAAAGGCUACGGUGAUGACAUCUUUUUCUCUCAAGGACUUGAGGAGCCCAAGAAUAACCAAAAUUGAGAGUAAACCCAGACAAAAAUAGAUGUCACCAAUUAUUCUCAAGAAGCACUCAAUAAUAAGAUAGAUCAGCAGGCACAAUGAGGAGGUAA